rnacentral:rRNA from 1 species
UAAGGAAUAUUGGACAAUGGACGCAAGUCUGAUCCAGCCAUGCCGCGUGAAGGAUGACUGCCCUCUGGGUUGUAAACUUCUUUUAUAGGGGAAGAAAGUUAUUUUUUAGGAUAUUUGACGGUACCCUAUGAAUAAGCACUGGCUAACUCCGUGCCAGCAGCCGCGGUAAUACGGAGGGUGCAAGCGUUAUCCGGAUUCACUGGGUUUAAAGGGUGCGUAGGCGGGUAUGUAAGUCAGUGGUGAAAUACCGGAGCUUAACUUCGGAACUGCCAUUGAUACUAUAUAUCUUGAAUAUUGUGGAGGUAAGCGGAAUAUGUCAUGUAGCGGUGAAAUGCUUAGAGAUGACAUAGAACACCGAUUGCGAAGGCAGCUUGCUACGCAAAUAUUGACGCUGAGGCACGAAAGCGUGGGGAUCAAACAGGAUUAGAUACCCUGGUAGUCCACGCCCUAAACGAUGAUUACUCGACAUUAGCGAUACACAGUUAGUGUCUGAGCGAAAGCAUUAAGUAAUCCACCUGGGAAGUACGACCGCAAGGUUGAAACUUAAAGGAAUUGACGGGGUCAUAGCUGUUUCCU